UUACGGCCACAUCGCGUUGAAACGCCGGUUCCUGUACGAUUCCCAAAGUUAAGCAACGCCGAGUUUGGUCAGUAACUAGAUGGGUGACAGCUUGGAAAUACCAGGUGCUGUAAG